AGGCCCUACGGGAGGCAGCAGUGGGGGAUAUUGCACAAUGGGGGAAACCCUGAUGCAGCGACGCCGCGUGAGCGAUGAAGUAUUUCGGUAUGUAAAGCUCUCUCAGCAGGGAAGAAAAUGACGGUACCUGACUAAGAAGCCCCGGCUAAAUACGUGCCAGCAGCCGCGGUAAUACGUAGGGGGCAAGCGUUAUCCGGAUUUACUGGGGGUAAAGGGAGCGAAGACGGCAGGGCAAGUCUGAAGUGA
rnacentral:rRNA from 1 species